UGCGUAGGCGGGAUAUCAAGUCUGUCUUAAAAGUGCGAGGCUCAACCUCGUGAGGGGACAGAAACUGGUAUUCUUGAGUGUCGGAGAGGAAAGUGGAAUUCCAAGUGUAGCGGUGAAAUGCGUAGAGAUUUGGAAGAACACCAGUGGCGAAGGCGACUUCUGGACGAUGUCUGACGCUGAGGCGCGAAAGCUAGGGGAGCGAACG
rnacentral:rRNA from 1 species